CUUGUCCGUGAUUACCACUGUAAUGUAUUUUGAGUUUAACGACCAUGAGAAUACUUUACAUGCACUACCAUCUGAGACAUA
rnacentral:snoRNA from 1 species